rnacentral:lncRNA from 1 species
AAUUAGUUAGAAAGAUUCAAAAGAGUUAUUUAAUGAAUACGACUAAACAUUUAUGAGAUGAUGACAAAUUUAAGCCACUUAUGUUGCUGUUAUUCUAUUUUAUGAACAGUGUUGAAAUCCAGUACACAAUAUUUAAUUUCAUCUGCUGGGCUUUGUUGGUUGAUGCAGGGGGACGCUGCUCUGCUGGACUCACUCCAUUCCCAGUGUCCUUUGCCUUGUUACCAAUGGGAGGAGAACUGGCUUUAGUGAAGGCUGGAACUCUCCAACUCACUCACUCAGCCAUCGUUCCUUAUCUGACACCCCAGAAGUCUGAUACCAGAAAUAUGAUUAAGAGCUGCAACCACUUCAGCUGCGUCUUUCAGUCUCCAAGGACAAGAGCCUCUCUGGGCUUCUGUCUCGCUUGCAAUGAGCUGGAGCUCUCUGGAAGUCAGGAAAAUGGUACACUUUUCCGGUAG